rnacentral:rRNA from 1 species
CCUCGGGGGGCAGCAGUGAGGAAUAUUGGUCAAUGGGCGCGAGCCUGAACCAGCCAUCCCGCGUGCAGGAUGACGGCCCUAUGGGUUGUAAACUGCUUUUCUAUGCCAAGAAACCUGAUUACGUGUAAUCAGUUGCCGGUAGCAUAGGAAUAAGCAUCGGCUAACUCCGUGCCAGCAGCCGCGGUAAUACGGAGGAUGCAAGCGUUAUCCGGAUUCAUUGGGUUUAAAGGGUGCGCAGGUGGGCUUGUAAGUCAGUGGUGAAAUGCUGCCGCUUAACGGUAGAACUGCCAUUGAUACUGCGAGUCUUGAGUAUGGUUGAGGUAGGCGGAAUGUGUUGUGUAGCGGUGAAAUGCAUAGAUAUGACACAGAACGCCAAUUGCGAAGGCAGCUUACUAAGCCAUUACUGACGCUGAGGCACGAAAGCGUGGGGAGCGAACAGGAUUAGAUACCCCCGUAGUC